rnacentral:tRNA from 4 species
GCGCCCUUAGCUCAGCUGGAUAGAGCAACGGCCUUCUAAGCCGUAGGUCGCAGGUUCGAAUCCUGCAGGGCGCGCCA